rnacentral:rRNA from 1 species
AUACGGAGGGUGCAAGCGUUAUCCGGAAUCAUUGGGUUUAAAGGGUCCGUAGGCGGGAAUCUAAGUCAGUGGUGAAAUCUUGCAGCUCAACUGUAAAAUUGCCAUUGAUACUGGAUUUCUUGAAUUAGUGUGAAGUGAUUAGAAUGUGUAGUGUAGCGGUGAAAUGCAUAGAUAUUACACAGAAUACCAAUUGCGAAGGCAGAUCACUAACACUAUAUUGACGCUGAGGGACGAAAGCGUGGGGAGCGAACAGGAUUAGAUACCCGGGUAGUCC